UCUCCGGUGUUUGUCACUCUUCGACAGCACCAUAGAGGAUCUUCAUCUUCUUUUCUUUCGUAUAGCUUUUAUGUGGUGUUAUAGAGUUUUUCGAAGUUUGAAUGUUAUUGGUAAGAUGACUGUCACAGAUUCAGCAUGACACUCCAUCGUCGAUGACUAAUCAAGACUACGGCGUGGUUCAUGUCCCUUGUGGUUUUGGACUAGGUUGUCUGGGGUCGGCAGUUGAGGUUCCUCAUGAGCUUUCUCUACAUCCUGUCUCAAUCCGUCUUCUGAUCAUGUUUUUUUAUGGGCUCUUUUCUUUUCAUUUUCUUUUAUUAUCUUAUGAACCUUCUAACGGUUUGUCUGAGAUGAUGCUAGUCUUCUUUGAGAUGUUAUUUCGGGGUUGUGCUCUUAUCUAUUUCAUCGUCUAGGGCUAGGGCUUCCCUUCUGCUCUUGUCUACAGGGAAGAAUGUUUGUUGGUCGGGUUGGUGUCAUUCUGGUUCCGCUCCGACUUCUUCUCGGGUUUGUUUCGCUUGAAACUUGUGGAAUAGAGUUGGCUGAAUAUUUGGUUUGUUCCUCAUGUUUCUGCCCUCUUUUCGGUUUGAUUAUUGAGUAGUUCGAGCUUGUUCGCAAUGUUACUUUGGUUAUGUUUCUUGGAGCUGAAGUCAGGUGGCAGCUUAUUGCCACAUGCGUGACAAAGAAAGAACGCUAUCAGUCCUUUAUUGUGUGCAAUGGACAUGCGUUGUUAAAUCACCUCAUUGUGUGUGCUUCAAUAAUUACUUAGAGUUUGGGAUAUGCUUUCCUAAAACCCACUGAAUGCCACAAUAGCUAACCCUCAAUGGAUCCCCACUCUCUAUUAAUGAGGUCUUGUCUUUGACUCGCUGGAAUUCUUCUGUUACACAAUGCCUAUUGGUAUCUUGAUCUUUCUGCAACUUUUGUUUCUUUGAAUUUGUUUUUGUUGGCUUUUGGCUAUGUACGAACCUUACAUUUUCUAUUCAAAAAUAUUAAUGUUAAAAAAGAUACUUAUUUCAAACGAUUCAAAUAGAAACAAUAAAUAAAUUACUUCAGCGGAUCAAACUAAAUAACAAAUAUCUUGGGAAAUAGUAAAUACAUACGCGGAGCUCAGCCAUACUUGUUCUAAUAGUUUCAAAAAAAAUUCCUAAAAAUCAUAAAAAUUACAUUAGAUUAAUUUAAAUAUAGAAGGCGUGUGAUUCUAUUCUUGGCUCUCUUUUGAUUUGUCAACGCAUGAAAAAACUUCUGCGUUUCUAUCCCCUUCCCACCGCCAAAGGACUUUACUCUUUUGUCUUCAGAAUACUUCCUCAGCAUUAAGAGCCUCAUAUAGUUCUUUCCAUGCUUCUCCCAUCUUCUCAGUGGUGGAAUGGUCAUUUGAAUACAAUUUUCAACUUUUUGUUUAAGUUCAUCCACUUGUUUUCAGAAUUUAUGUUAUAUUCUCUCUUCCAUUGACUCAAAUCUCUGCGGCAACUCGACAUAUGCUCCAUAGUAUCUGUAUCAGUCGGGAGGUCCAUUGAGUUUCAUCCUUCGAGAAUAACUUGCUUAAUUUCUUCGCUAUCCAAACAUCGUUUAUCAAACCUGAAUUUUUCCUUUUUCUGAUUGGUUUGGCAGGAAUGUUUGCUAGAACCUGACGAUGAUCUGAUUCUAUAGACGCAAGUACUUAAUAGUAGAAUGAAGAAAUUUAUCGUGCCAAUAUUCAUUUCCUACUGCCCGAUCUAAAUGACACCGGACCGUCGAUUGUCCUUUCUUUCCGAUUCACGAGAGCAUAUUUCCAGUAAAUAGAAACUCCAUCAUUCUGCAGUCAUUUAACAUAUGUUUGAAAGGUUUUUUGGUUGAAAAAUGUGUAAGGCAUUCUCACACUUAAUCUGUUCUUUCUAAAACAUGAUCUUUUGUCUAAUGAUUGUCUAUGUCAAUUAUAUGAGUAUUUGAGAAAAUACAUUUAUUUGAAAAUCAUACAAUACUAAAAGGAGAAUAUCCUCCGCUCUCAACCCCUCCAUGUAGGCAGAUUAAUUCAGGCCAAUAGGGGAGAGCCACCUCAUCAAGAUCAUUUCUUUCUUCCUAAAACGAAAUUAAACAAAGAGCUUUGUUUUUCAUAGCCCAUUUAAACUUCUGUAAUAUGUGUUUUACGGAACCCAAAUAUAGGCCUAAAUUUUUUAAACCCAAAUCUCAUCUCCAAAGAAUUUUUACCACCAAAAGACCCCUUCAGCUCUUUCACCAUAGCCAAGAAAACAUAACAUCUCCGUUACAAUUUUUAUUACUCACCAUCUCUCACCACUUACUACAUCAAUUAUUCAUCUCUUCAACAUUGUAACAAACGAACGAAAACAGACUCCUCAAAUUUCCCCCACUCAUUAUAUAUAUAUUCCAUUCCCAUCUUACAGUGUCGGCCUAUUCUACAAUCCAGCCCAACAAAUGGAACGACGGUUCCGGGAUGGAUCUGACGACGAAGGUGAGGUUCAAGAUUUUUCUGGAAAACUAUUUGGUAUGGAGUCGGGGUGGGUGCUGAUAUUGAAGUCAACGGAGAAGAGCUACAGCUCACUAAAAAGAGAUUAACAUGAAGAGAUCUGAUUUUUCUACAAGAUUAAGAGGAGGUAGGGGUAUUGUAUGUGUGAUUGGCGGAAAUACGGAUCAGUUGGUGCAACAUUGCUUAAGAUACAUCGAUAACCUCAACUCAGGAAACCUAUGUGAUUCAUGCAUCUAUUGAGUAAGUUUAUUUCAAAUAUCCUUUGCUGUCUUUUUACCUGUCUUUGGUAAACGAUUAUGCAGAGUCCUCUGUCCAUAGCUCAAAACAAGUAAAGUAUUUGCUUCUGCCAUAAUGGAGAUGAAAAUCCAUUUGAUUUUACUUACUCUGUUCGGUAAAUGUGUAAUAUGAAUUUUUACUUUCUUAAUCUGCUUUGUUUUCUGUAACAACUUCAAUGAUUUGAAUUUACGCCUUAUAGUUACUUUCUGAAUUGUAACCUCGGGUGAAUAGGUUUGUCUUAAUCUUUCUUUGAUGAUACACAGACUUGAGAAGAA